AUUGAACGCUGACGGCAGGCCUAACACAUGCAAGUCGAACGGUAACAGGAAGAAGCUUGCUUCUUUGCUGACGAGUGGCGGACGGGUGAGUAAUGUCUGGGAAACUGCCUGAUGGAGGGGGAUAACUACUGGAAACGGUAGCUAAUACCGCAUAACGUCGCAAGACCAAAAAGGGGGACCUUCGGGCCUCUUGCCAUCGGAUGUGCCCAGAUGGGAUUAGCUAGUAGGUGGGGUAACGGCUCACCUAGGCGACGAUCCCUAGCUGGUCUGAGAGGAUGACCAGCCACACUGGAACUGAGACACGGUCCAGACUCCUACGGGAGGCAGCAGUGGGGAAUAUUGCACAAUGGGCGCAAGCCUGAUGCAGCCAUGCCGCGUGUAUGAAGAAGGCCUUCGGGUUGUAAAGUACUUUCAGCGGGGAGGAAGGGAGUAAAGUUAAUACCUUUGCUCAUUGACGUUACCCGCAGAAGAAGCACCGGCUAACUCCGUG
rnacentral:rRNA from 1 species